GAUGAACGCUGGCGGCGUGCCUAACACAUGCAAGUCGAACGGAGUGGCGGACGGGUGAGUAACGCGUGGGCAACCUGCCUUGCACAGGGGGCUAGCAGUUGGAAACGACUGGUAAUACCGCAUAGGGCAAGAUGGGCCCGCGUCCUAUGAGAUAGUUGGUGGGGUAACGGCCUACCAAGUCGACGAUCGGUAGCCGACCUUAGAGGGCGGACGGCCACAUUGGGACUGGGGCACGGCCCAGACUCCUACGGGAGGCAGCAGGGGGGAAUAUUGCACAAGGGAGGGAACUCUGAUGCAGCGACGCCGGGUGAGUGAAGAAGUAUUUCGGUAUGUAAAGCUCUAUCAGUAUGGAAGCGGUACCUACAUAAGAAGCCCCGGCUAAAUACGUGCCAGCAGCCGCGGUAAUUC
rnacentral:rRNA from 1 species